GACACGGUGGUAGAGUGGUUAAUACGUGAGACUUGAAUCCGCCGCGGGAACGUUAAAUUCUCGCAGCAACUGGAUACGAUCAUCUCAUACCUUCGGGUGCGCAAGUUCGAAUCUUGUCCGUGUCG
rnacentral:tRNA from 1 species